CACGUAGGGGGCAAGCGUUGUCCGGAUUUAUUGGGCGUAAAGAGCGUGUAGGCGGUUCGGUAGGUCCGUUGUGAAAACUCGAGCUCAACCUCGAGACGCCGAUGGAAACCCCCGAACUAGAGUCCGGAAGAGGAUGGUGGAAUUCCCGGUGUAGCGGUGAAAUGCGUAGAGAUCGGGAGGAACAUCAGUGGCGAAGGCGGCCAUCUGGGCCGGACCUGACGCUGAGACGCGAAGGCGUGGGGAGCGAACGGGGAUUAGAAACCC
rnacentral:rRNA from 1 species